UCAAAGAAUACCAAAGAAAGUUCCAAGAAAGA
rnacentral:piRNA from 1 species